CGAUACCACAUGGAUGUUAUUAUAAAUUCCAAUUUCUUUAUAUGACUGGGGUCAGGAUAUAUUCAUGUAGUCAGAUAUACGAAUCAGUUAUACCAAUACAAAAUGGUGGUAGCGUCGAGAUAAACUUAUUACAUAAUGAUACAAGUACACCGAGAGUAUUCACGGCCUGUGUGCAAAUAAAAUCAGCAUCCUCAUCAUCUAAAAGACUGUCAUGUGGUAAAUCAAGAUGGUCAACAACAAGCUAUAAACCUACUGAUAUAGAAACAUCUUUCACAGAAAGUAUAACGACACCCGGUGAUGAAUCUAACCAACCAACAUAUGGUAGUGAAUCUAACCAACCAACAUCUGAUAGUGAAUCUAACCAACCAACAACACCAACAUCUAAGAAUGAUAACUCGAUAUCUGCUAUAAUUGGUGGAGCUGUAGGAGGAUUAAUUGUGAUUAUCGUCAUCAUUAUUAUCAUAGUAAUCUGUGUAAUACGUAAGAAGAAUGGGGACAAUAUUUAUGACAGUCCAGAAGCUGCAGAGACUGGUCCUCAUCCUUACCAGAUCAUUCACAGAUAACAGAUAUGGGGAGAUAACUCUGACUGAUAAACAUAAUAAUGAAUUGGUUCAUCAGGAGAAUGAUCCAUAUACCAGUAUUGAUAAUGAUAUAAUUAAACCUAGCAACGGUAACCAAGGAAUGGAAUGUCUAGAAAAUGAUCUUUAUAUUAGUUCUGAUGAUGUCACUGAUGACGUGGCGGUUGAUGAUAAACUUAAACCUAGCAACGGUAACCAAGGGAUGGAAUAUCUAGAAAAUGAUCUGUAUAUUAGUUCUGAUGAUGUCACUAAUGACGUGGUGGUUGGUGAUAAACUAAAAGUAAAACUUCCGGUUGUGGCGGAACACGCCCGGGUUAACACAUCUAACACGAACCAAAUCACGAAUGGGAUCAAGGAGAGAAAAAUACACUGUUGUUAAUAAAGAGUGGGGGGGAAUGAUCAAUAAGGAUAAACGUAAUGAACAAUUUAAAAUAGGGCCUAGUGCAGAUAAAUACACUGUUGUUAAUAAAGAGGGGAAGAAGAACAAUGAUGAAACUGAAGGAAAAUUUAAAAUAGGGCCUAGUGGAGAUACAUACGCUGUUGUUAAUAAAGAGGGGAGAGGAACCUUAAAUAAUUAUGUUGUAAUUAUGUUGAAUGUUUGUCACCGUGCUGAACCUUUCAAUCCGGUGUCUAGCUAAUCCAAAACGCUUGAUACGUCUACUAAAUGUUAUAUUGUAUAUUGAGAUUUGCUUAUAAUUUCUACAGGUGCCGAUGUAAUGAGACCCCACCCCAUCAUGAGAACCAAGUAAGCACCCCUGAGGUUCACCAAAAACAAUAACAAAAUCAAUAACAAUCUUAAAUUAACAUGAACUUUAUGUCAACUUGAAUAAAACUGUUUUCCGGCGAGAUAACGAUCGGCGAGGAACUAUAAUAGGGAAUACGAUCAAUGGUUCAGCGAGGAGCUCAGUGUUAUAGCCACUAUUGUCUUGACAUUCAUUGUCCGGUGGGACUGUGGAUGGCGCCCUCGAUUUUAACAGACCCCCCCCCUUCCCCACCCAUCGAUUCACAGCUUCUAGAUCCACUACAGA